CUUUUUGAGUAUAAUUUAAAGUCUGGCCUGCCCAAUGAAAUUUUAAAUGGCCGCGGUAUUUUGACCGUGCAAAGGUAGCAUAAUCAUUAGUUUUUUAAUUGAAAGCUGGUAUGAAGGGUUGAAUGAAAAAAUAACUGUCUCUAUAUUAAUUAAUUAGAAUUUUAUUAUUAAGUUAAAAAGCUUAAAUUUUAAUAAAAGACGAGAAGACCCUAUAGAGUUUUAUUAUUUUAUUGUAAAAUAUUUUUAGAAUUUAAUUAUUUUUUAUAAUUAAAUUAUUUAGUUGGGGUGAUUAAAAAAUUUAUUUAACUUUUUUUUUUAUUUAUACAUUGAUUUAUGAGUAUUUGANCCUUAAAUUAAGAUUAAAAGAUAAAAUUACCUUAGGGAUAACAGCGUAAUUUUUUUAGAGAGUUCAAAUUGAAAAAAAAGAUUGCGACCUCGAUGUUGGAUUAAAAUAVAAUUUUGGUGUAGAAGCUGAA
rnacentral:rRNA from 1 species